rnacentral:misc_RNA from 1 species
AAUACUUGAAACAUAACUAUGUAGGAAAAGGAGAAUAAUUUACACAUCAUUAGGAUCUUCAGAGUAGUUGUUGGGCCAGCGAGGUAGUGAUAGAUAACAAGAUCAGUCCCUCAUUGCCAUAUUCACCUGUGACCAGUAACCCUUUAACCAGAGGAUCCAGAAAUAACGGAUUCUAUCAAUUGUGCAAUCCUGGAGUCAGUAUGAUCACAGUUGAUAUGGCCCUAUCAAACAAUACAAACAUCCAUACCCAGCAAAAGGAUUACAAUUACUUUGCAUUCAAAGAUUCAAAGACGAUGGGACUUAUUGGACUAGUAAUUCAUAAUCAUAUCCCUGGGUUUGGAUUCUACAGAACUAGAGCCCAAAUACUUCUUAAGUCCCCUUUCCUUCAUUAAUUCCCUUACUAGUGCAGCAUCGGUCCAUCUCCCCAUCUCUGAGUACAAGUUAGAGAGAACUACAUAAUAAGCACUAUUCCCUGGUUCCAGUUCAACAAGUUUCUUAGCCACAAAUUCACUUAAUUCCAAGUUUCUCUGAGCCCUACAGACAGCCAGCAAUGAUCCCCACAUAGGUAUUGUAGGCUCAAAAGGCAUUUCUCUGAUGAAUUUGAAAGCCUCAUCAAGAUGCCCAGCUCGUGCAAAGAGGUCAACCAUACAUGCAUAAUGCUUAGCAUUAGGUGAAAAUCCAUACUUCCCAUUGAUCAAUGAACUAAAUAUUCGUUGGCCCAUAUCAACCAUCCCCGCAUGGCUGCAAGCACUAAGCACAUUCACCAAAGUGACUUCAUCUGGGUUUAGUCCUUCUUCCUCCAUCCUAUUCAACAACAGAACAGCCUCCUGCCCACAUUUAGCAAAAGCUAGUCCUUUAAUAACAGCAUUCCAAGUAAAAAUGUUCCUCUCUUUCAUGCUUCUAAACACAUCCAAACCUUCAUCAAUUCUCCCGCAUUUCAUAUACAUAUCAAUCAAAGAAGUCCCUAAAAUCACAUCUAUCUCCCACCUUUUCCUCCUUAUAAAAUCAUGUAUCCAAAUACCCAUUUCAAUGGCCCCAAAACUCGCACAGGCACCCAACACAUUCACCAUGGUAACAUGAUUAGGCACUAAACCCGCAUAUUGCAUCUGCUCAAAAGCAAUCAACGCAUCAUCAUAGUUCCCAGCACUCCUAUACCCCAUAAUCAAAAUAGUCCACGAGACAACAUCUUUGUCAGGCAUUUCAUCAAACAGUUGCCGACACAAUCCCAUAUGGCCACAUGAAGCAUAGACAUUUAGCAAAGAGUUCUGGACAUAAAUAUCAUUUAAAUGACCAAACUUUACAACAUGGGUAUGUACGGAUCGGGCUUGCUUGAAAUCCUUGAAGUCAGACAAGGACUUGAGAAGAAAAGGAAAGGUGUAGUUGUUAGGAAGAAUGGAGUUGUUAUGCAUGUAGGAAUAUAUUGAAUAAGGAAUAUAAGGAGCUUCAGAGUGGGAGAAGGCCCUUAUAAGGUUAUUGCAAAUGAAAACAUGAGGUUUAGGGAGGUGCGCGAAGAAGAAGAGAGGGAGAGAGGAGUGCAAGAGGGAUAGAUUCUGGCAGGCAGUGAUGAAAUGAUGGGCAACAGUGGUGUUAGAGUGGAGUUUAUUUAGUAUGAGUUGGGCUUGGAUUUGGUGGAUAUGAGUCUGAGAAAUGCACAUUUGUAGAAGACGAAUGAUUCUUUCUGCUGUGACGCUGAGCUGAGAGUUAGGCAUCAUCAUUGGAUAUUUGGAUGAGAAAAGGCUUUGUGUUCAUAGAAAAGCUGCAAGCCCGCAAUUGACAUAUAGCAAAACUUCUGCAAGCCUGCAAUUGAC